rnacentral:rRNA from 1 species
AACGAACGCUGGCGGCAUGCCUAACACAUGCAAGUCGAGCGAGACCUUCGGGUCUAGUGGCGCACGGGUGCGUAACGCGUGGGAACCUGCCCUUAGGUUCGGAAUAACUUCCCGAAAGGGGUGCUAAUACCGGAUAAUGUCUUCGGACCAAAGUUUUAUCGCCUUUGGAUGGGCCCGCGUGGGAUUAGCUAGUUGGUAGGGUAAAAGCCUACCAAGGCGACGAUCCAUAGCUGGUCUGAGAGGAUGAUCAGCCACACUGGGACUGAGACACGGCCCAGACUCCUACGGGAGGCAGCAGUGGGGAAUAUUGGACAAUGGGCGAAAGCCUGAUCCAGCAAUGCCGCGUGAGUGAUGAAGGCCUUAGGGUUGUAAAGCUCUUUUACCCGGGAUGAUAAUGACAGUACCGGGAGAAUAAGCUCCGGCUAACUCCGUG